AGCUCCAAUAGCGUAUACUAAUGUUGUUGCAGUUAAAAAGCUCGUAGUCGGAUUUCAGAUUUGAUUUGUUUACCCUCCGAGGUUUACACGUCAUUUCUUCUUUGACAGAAGGUUUCAUCCCAUUCAUUUGGAAUGUUAUUCAACUGUCUCUUUUACUUUGAGAAAAUUAGAGUGUUCAAAGCAGGUUCUUGCCUGAAUAUUACUCUUGGAAUAAUAAUAUAGGACUCUGGUUCUCGUUUGUUGGUGAUCGGGUGCCGGAGUAAUGAUUAAUAGCGACGGUUGGGGCAAUUCAUACUGCAAAGCGAG
rnacentral:rRNA from 1 species